GACGAACGCUGGCGGCGUGCUUAACACAUGCAAGUCGAACGAUGAAGCCGGAGCUUGCUCUGGUGAAUUAGUGGCGAACGGGUGAGUAACACGUGAGUAACCUGCCCUUGACUCUGGGAUAACUGCGGGAAACUGUAGCUAAUACCGGAUACGACCCUCGGAGGCAUCUCCUGGGGGUGGAAAGAAUUUCGGUCAAGGAUGGACUCGCGGCCUAUCAGCUAGUUGGUGAGGUAAAGGCUCACCAAGGCGACGACGGGUAGCCGGCCUGAGAGGGUGACCGGCCACACUGGGACUGAGACACGGCCCAGACUCCUACGGGAGGCAGCAGUGGGGAAUAUUGCACAAUGGGCGCAAGCCUGAUGCAGCAACGCCGCGUGAGGGAUGACGGCCUUCGGGUUGUAAACCUCUUUUAGCAGGGAAGAAGCGAAAGUGACGGUACCUGCAGAAUAAGCAGCUACAAACUAUGUGCCAGCCGCCGCGGUAA
rnacentral:rRNA from 1 species